AACGCACCUUGCGCCCUUUGGUAUUCCGAAGGGCAUGCCUGUUUGAGUGUCAUUAAAUUCUCAACCUUGCAAGCUUUUGUGCUAGUGAGGCUUGGAUGUGAGGGCUUUUGCUGGCUUCCUUCAUUGGAUGGUCUGCUCCCUUUAAAUUCAUUAGUGGAUUCCUUUGUGGAUGGUCACUUGGUGUGAUAAUUAUCUACGCCGCCUGACUCUGACACAAGACUUGUGGGGACCUGCUUAUAACCGUCUCUUUCAAGAGACAAUCUACAUUGACUAUUUGACCUCAAAUCAGGUAGGACUACCCGCUGAACUUAA
rnacentral:misc_RNA from 1 species